UCAUGGGUUUGCAUUUAAUUAUGUAGAUCAAGGUGUUUGAAAAUUAUACCCUACAUCCUAGUGUAGGAUGGUCUACCUACACCCCUGAUGCUACGCCAUUUUGUAGCUUGCGGGGAGUACUCACGAGCUAAUUCAUGCUUCAAUUCUUUCCUUUUUUUUAUUUAUUUUUUUAAUUCCUUGUUUCUUAUUAUUCAAGCUAUGUAUAUAAAUGAUUUUAAACCCAAUAUUUUCUCUCUCCUCAAUUGAUCAAUUUCCAUUUUUCUACCUACAUUCUCUCUAGUUAAUUCAUCUUCUUCAUUUGAUUUUAUACUAAUUUUGCCGUUUAUUUUUCCUACGAUUUUGAUAAUUGUUGUUGAUCGUCAAUGGCUGAUUCUUCCUCUGCUAAUUUCGAUCGUGAUUACGAAAGUGUGUUUCCGUCUUCUAGAGUUCGAUUGAUUGAUUCGUUUGUUCAUCAACAAUUCGAAGGAUUUAAAUAUUCCUAUAAAUAAAAGUGUUGCUGGUGUUUCUGCUGCUCAAGCUCAAUGUAAUGUUCCUAUAAAUAAAGGUGGUGCUGGUGUUAAAAAUGAUGCUCAAGUUAAUCCAAGAGUACUAAUGCGUCUACAAAAUCUCAAACUAGAUAUUUUGUUCCACCCGUAGUUCUUGGCAUUGUUCCAACUUCAACUCAGGAUUGUUCAAACUUCAAUCUAGAAAUGUUUAAACCCCAUUCCAGAAAUGUUCAAUCGACAAAUGUUUAAGUUAUUCCUCCCACGGUUCCAAUAAAUGAUCAAGGUGCUCUUGUUCAAAGUUCUUCAAGUGUUAAAGACAUAAGAAUUUGUUUCUA